UACAGAGACCUCAAGCGUUAUCCGGAAUCAUUGGGCGUAAAGCGUACCGAUAGGUGGUUUUACAAGUCAGAAGUGAAAUCUCUCAGCUUAACUGGGAGACUGUCUUUUGAAACUGUAAAACUAGAAGGGCAAAGAGGAAGCUGGAACAAACGGUGUAGUAGUGAAAUGCGUUGAUAUCGUUUGGAACACCAAUAGCGUAGGCAGGCUUCUGGGUGCCACUUGACACUGCUAGGACGAAAGCGUGGGGAGCGAAUGGG
rnacentral:rRNA from 1 species